rnacentral:rRNA from 1 species
CACGUGUAGCGGUGAAAUUGCGUAGAGAUGUGGAGGAACACCAGUGGCGAAGGCGACUCUCUGGUCUGUAACUGACGCUGAGGAGCGAAAGCGUGGGGAGCGAACAGGAUUAGAUACCCUGGUAGUCCACGCCGUAAACGAUGAGUGCUAAGUGUUAGGGGGUUUCCGCCCCUUAGUGCUGCAGCUAACGCAUUAAGCACUCCGCCUGGGGAGUACGGUCGCAAGACUGAAACUCAAAGGAAUUGACGGGGGCCCGCACAAGCGGUGGAGCAUGUGGUUUAAUUCGAAGCAACGCGAAGAACCUUACCAGGUCUUGACAUCCUCUGACAAUCCUAGAGAUAGGACGUCCCCUUCGGGGGCAGAGUGACAGGUGGUGCAUGGUUGUCGUCAGCUCGUGUCGUGAGAUGUUGGGUUAAGUCCCGCAACGAGCGCAACCCUUGAUCUUAGUUGCCAGCAUUCAGUUGGGCACUCUAAGGUGACUGCCGGUGACAAACCGGAGGAAAGUGGGGGAUGACGUCAAAUCAUCAUGCCCCUUAUGACCUGGGCUACACACGUGCUACAAUGGACAGAACAA